UGUCCCAGGUGUGGGGAGGGGAGAGUGGCCUGGAACUCACUGACCUGCUGUGCACAGCUGGGCUGGGCUGGUGCUCAACCGCUGGUCCCUGGCUCGCAGCCCUUCAGCACACAAACCCGCAGUAGACCAUGCAGCUCCAGCUCCACAUGCAGCACACACAUGCCCACAGCCCAGAGAUGGAACAGGCAGGGGAACAGAUGCUCACGGGCAUGCAGGCCUGCCUCUCAGCUCUGUCUCUGUUUAUCUCUUUGGCAGAUAGCACAGUAGGGUCCUAGAGGAGCUGGGCAAAGCUCCAGCUGUGAGUCACCUCUUCUAUUUGAAGUAGAAAUCUUUACCUGCCUCUUUCAGGUUCCACCUGACUUCCUUCAUGUAUUUCGGUGACUGAACCAUUUGGGUGGCCAGUAAGAUCCUGCAAGCUCCCUGGAGAAGGGAGACGGUGUGGAUGGAGAAGAAAUUGGAGCGUGGAUGGAGAAGAAAUUGGAGCGUAGAUAGUUGGAGGACCCUGCCUUGCAAAUCCUUUGUGGAAAAACUUAGCCCCGUGCUGCUGCGUUGGUGGCCCAGCUAGCCAGGGAAGGGCUGUGGUAUGCAGGGUCGGGAGGGAAUAGGCAGGAAAUGAUUGUGAUAAGAGGCUUCCCUCUGGCCAACUCCCCAGUUUCCAGACUGGGCUUCAGGAUAAGGGUCAGGAGCUGGGCCUGGACAUCUGGGACCUUCUGAGGAGGUGGCUGCCAGGACAGUCUUUGGGUCUGCAGCAGGAAGGGCUGCAAUUGCAAGGGCCCCUGGGACCUGAUGGGCAAAGCCUGGGAAUAGAAAUGGCCUUGGAAGCCCAGCCAGGGCUACCUUCCUUUGGGUUCAGGAAUUUCAAUCAGACUUCAUAAAGCAAAAUCAAUUUCUUAAAAAAAAAAAAUACCCCUCCCCUCAACUUUGUGAAUCCACAUUGCUGAGAGGGUAGAGCAGGUUACAACUACAGCCUGGCCCCAGGGAAUUUUGUGCUCUAGAUGGUUCUCAGUCGGAGUAAAAAUGGAAAAGGGAGUAAUGUACACGAACACCAAGUGGACCCCCUGAGAAAGAAGGGAUCAAACCCAAAAGGGUCAGCUGCCGGAGAUCAACUGAGUCCUCAGGAAUGUGUGUCUUGCGGUCAUUUGCAAAGCCUGGUGCUCCUUGGGCUCCCGCUGUCUCCUCUUUGCUCAAGGCCCAGUUGCUCCACCAUCUGUGGUUGACUUGGAUAGCUCACAAAAGAACUGGAAGUGCUGCAGAGGAAAACCCCAUGGGCGGUGAGGUCGUGGGGCCCCUCACUAUUGUACCAGCGCCCCUUCUGAAGGAUUAGCAGCUUCUAUCUGUCCCUAGGGGCUGCACUGUAAAUGCCUGUGUAAUGCUAAUUUGUGGUUGGCAGGAGAUUGAUUGGGAAGGAGCUGAAUAAUGGCAAGACGAGGCUGAGCUCCCUCCUACUUCUGGAGUGGUUGGGGUGUGUGUGUGUGUGUGUGUGUGUGUGUGUAUGUGUGUAUGAGUGGGAGUAUGUCUUCUAGAAAGAAAGUAGCAAUAAGACCCCAGAAAGGGUGAUUAUAAGAGAAGAUGAAGAUGAAGUCCUGAUGGGAAGAUUUUUGAAAGAGGCAAGAGUAGAGAGAUGGUGGUGCUGGAUGCCAGGAUUUUUUGACCCAAUGAUGAUAGAAAAGAAAUCAAUCGAGUCAGGUGAGUAAACAGGUAGGCAAGGAUUUUUUUUUUUUAUGACAGUGGAAUGCAUUACAAAUCUUAUUACACAUAGAGCACAAUUUUUCAUAUCUCUGGUUGUGGAAGAGACACCGCUCCUGCAAGAAGAUGUCGGGCUGGCUCUCUCCAUGGAAGAAGGGAGCUUAUUUUUACUGGUGGCUUGCAGAGGUGGCAAUGCCAGUUGGCACUCCACAAAAGCACUUUGCCCUGUCUGUGCUGAAAAUAAGUUACUGCAGCUGUUCAAAAGAACACGCUAAAGGCACCCUGACCUCAGCAAAGCAAAGCCCACACUGGCUGAGGGUGGCACACACCAAGCCUCCUGGCAUCUGCCUAUUGAGCCAAGGCUUGGAAGUGCAUGUGCUCUUUGUCCCCCAGUGGUCCCCGUCUCAGUCUAUGGAGUCGGGGAUUACAAAUUUGGAGGGUUUUUUUCUUUUUCUUUCUUUUUCCUGAUAGGAGUAACAUGCUACUGUUUUUACCAUAUUCUAUUCAUCAGAUCCAAGUCCUAAGGUCCAGCCCACACAUAAGGGGAAGGGAUUCUACUUGGGAGGUAAGAAUCAUUGAGAGCUGUAUCAGAAGCUGCCUAUGACAUGAAGAAAGAUUCCAGCAAAAGUGCCUGGUACAUACUAAGUGCUCAAGAAAAAGAUAUAUUUGUUAUUUGGACAAUGACUUGCCUAGGAUGUGUGCUAGGUUUUCCCAACAUGGCCUGGGUGGUCUCUGAUGUCCCAGCUUCAAUUCCAUGGGUAUUGCUGGUUUUUUUGGGAAGGUGUUUCCCUCUGGCACCCUGAGGUUUGUGACCAGCUCUCUGGGCGCAGGCUUGCAGAUAGAGAGGGUCGAUGCUCACUCCCACUCCCUCAGUCUUCCUCAAGUCCUCUUCAUAAACGUGUGGUCUUGCACCGUGGUCAAUGUACAGAUAUUUUAAUUUCCUGCUCACCUGCUCUGUGGAGGAUCUGAUUUCUUCUUGCUUUUGUUUUUCUCUCCAGCAGUCUGCGGACAGGUACUUCUGUCUGACCAUCUGGUAGCCAUUCACCUUUAUGGCGGCUUGAGAAAGGAAUUAAUUUCACUUGUUUCUUUAGCAAUAUCUGUCUCUUUUGACAGCAAGUUACCUUUAUCACCUCUUAAAACUCUUACUCUGUUGGUCCUUCUGGUCCCUUGGGGACUCUUUAGAUCCCCUAACUUGGUGCAACUGCAUCUCCUCUGGCUCAGUGUUCCCUUUCUCUUUGCUCCACCCUUUAAACAUCCUACAUACUUCGGAGUCUGCCGUUGCCUUCCCCACCCACUGUCUGUGAAGAGUGAUGGAUUUGGCCCCCGUAGACCAACUGGAGUGUAAUCAGAAAACAAUCAACUGAAAGAGAAAAUGUGACCCCUGCCCUGAUCCUGCCCUUCUGAGGACUUCUUGAAGCCUUCAGUUUAAUUCUGGGCUUUCCAGCAGCUGAAGCCUUAGUUUUGGGAGCUUACCAUCUCUGCUGUACAUUCUAUGGAGACAUCCCUUUCUUCGCCCUCCCUCGACUGUUGAGCUGUUAGAGUUUGCAGCCAAGGACACUGCACAUCAGUCUCUCUCCUGGACACUCUGUCCCUGGGACUUUGGCUCCUCUCCCUUCAACUCUGUCCCAGGCUCCUCUGCAAAGUGGGCCGUCACCUUCACUAUAAAAGGAGAAACGGACGAUAAUAUUGGGAUGGGCUGGGUUGCCAUGUUUUACCCUAUUUACAGGUCAUUUUAAGUAUUGCUUCUACACGUUAGAUAAGGCUUUCAUGUUUAAUUUCAUGCAUGUAGGGCUGGGCGAGGCUUUCCUCUAGGUAGCAAUGAAAAUUAAAUACAAUUGAGUUUGAUGUGUACCUUAUUGAUUCCAGACCCAUUUCAGUAGACUGUGACACUUCAGCGACCUGCAAAUUCUACACAUUAGAGUUCAUAUUUUAUACAAAUUCUGUAUAAGCGAGAUGUGGACUUGCAUUUCCACUCGCAGUAUCCAACUUCCAGCAAAAGAUAGAGGCCCUGUCAGAAGAUGAAAGCUACUAAUGAAGACACAUCACAGGUGGUAUUUAUGGUCACCCCUUAGGGGAAAAAAGGUUCAUGAAUAAUUUCAUGGAAAUUACAACAAAAAAACCAAGUCAUAAUUUCCUCAAUUCCACGUUCUCCUUUGGAUUCUCUGCAGGCCACAUCAUGUUCCCUGUGUCACCACAGCUCCAUUUCAAAGGGAUGAGGCAGGAGUGGGGAGAGGUGGUAUGUUAACUGGCUUGGGAACUGCUGGGUAAUGAAGAGGGUUCAAUGCCUUUGAUGGCACCUUGUGGAGCAUAGAGUUUCUGUACUUUGUGUGUGACUGUUGGUGACGUUUGCUUUUCUGUGGCUCACGGCUCUUCUGAUAGUCAUGUCAUUAGAGAAGACCGCUUGAGCAAGGGAAACAGUUGGUGAUCAGAUCAAGACAGGAAGGGCAGGUUUGGACCAGUCUGAGUAACUUCGCCAUCAUCUCUCUUCUGCAACUGGGCUGUGAAUUAGAGUCUUCACUUAGCCCAAAAUGGGAAAAAUGAAUUUUUUUACAAGUGAGCAUGGCCUUUUGAGGCAGGGGGUGGGGGGAAAGUGUCUUUGCCAGCUGGGGCAGGGAAUAGAGGUGAGUCAGAAAGGCUUGGGGGAAAUGGUAUCCCCACUGAGGGUCUCAAGGCCACUUGUAAAACGACUCCUAGGUGUUAGUCUGCAGCUAAGGUUCCCAGCCUUGGCUGCACUUUGGAAUCUCCUGGGGAGACAUCCAGAUCCCGUCUCACACCAAUUCAGAAUCUCUGGAGGGGUGGGGUGCUGGGUCCCCAGGCUGAGGUAGAUUUAAAGGCUCCCUGAGGUAAUUCCAAUGGACAGCCAGGCUUGAGACCCAGUGAUCUUGGACCUUACUAAUCAAAAAUGUUGUCUGGGGGCAGUGGCACCAGUAUGGCCUGGGACUUUAGGCAUGCCCAGCCCCAGACCUACUGAGUCAAUCUCAGCAUUUUCGCAAGAUCCAUGGGAGAUUCAAAGUAUAUUAAAGUGUGAGAAGCUAUGCUUUUCAAACUUUGCUUCACAUUAUAAUCAUUCUGGAGAGCUUUUAAAAACAAAAAAUCCCAAUGCCCAGGCCACACCUCAUACGGAUUAAAUCAGAAUUUCUGAGGGUGGGAUGCAAGCAUCAGUAGUUUUUUAUAGGUUUUUCAGGUGAUUCCAAUGUGCAUGGUUUCUCAGCCAUGGCUACAUAUUAGAAUCAACUGGGGACCUUUUAAAUAUCCUGAUACCUGAGCCCUACCCUUAGAAAUUCCAAUUUAAUUGGUCUAGGAUAGGCAGCAAAAAAAAUUCCUAGGUGAUUUGAAUGUGCAGCCAGCUAGAGCCUCUGUUCCAGAGUGUUGGUCUAGCUUCAUUGAAGGGAAAAUUGGCUUAAAAAGACUUCCUACAAGUCAAUGGAUCAAGAACAGUUGAAGGAAAUAAACAUACCUGGUAUCAGGACUUUGAUAUCUGAUCUCCUUACAUAUGAUUACUACUAUACUUUUAUAUUUUUAUAUGAAUUCAAAUAUUCAUAUGCUCUUUUAGUUUUCUAAUAAAGUUCCUUUUGAAAAACUUAACCUCAGUACAGCUGACUUAAGGGACAAAAGCAGUGGUAUAACACUUAGUUCACUCACAGGAGCUCAGAGCAGCUAAGCAGUGAGGUGGGAUGGAGGCAAGGUGAAGAUAGAGAGCUUGGGAAGCUGGACUGAGGUGAGAAAAACAGGAAGGGAGAAGAAGGUGAGCUGAUUGCAACUUCUUGUCCCUUUACCCUUUAUUACUCUCACCAUUUCCAAUUUAAUUGUGGAGUCAAGUAGUUCUAAAGUAGGGUUGUUGGAUUUAGCAAAUAGAAUCACAAAGUGCCCAUUUAAACUUGGAUUUUAGAUAAACAAUGAAUAAUUUUUUAGUAUAAGCAUGGACUAUGAAAUAUUUGGGACAUAUUUAAAAAAAAUUUUUUUUUUUUGGUUGUAGAUGGACGCAGUACCUUUAUUUUAUUUUUAUGUGGUGUUGAGGAUUGAACCCAGUGCCUUCCACAUGUAAGGCAAUUCUAAAUUCUCAUUGUUGGAAAUAUCUUCCCUCUGCAUGGGGCUUUCUCCAGGCUUUGAGUUGGCUCUUGCCAACUGAAGUGAGGUCCAUGUGAGUUUGUUGGAACAAACUCAAGAGAUCCAUCAUCCUCAGUUGGUUAGAGCUGGUGCUGAUAACACCAAGGUCGCGGGUUCGUUCCCCGUACGGGCCACCAAUUGCCGCAACCCGGCUGGGCGCAGAAUCACGAGCCACUCAAGCAGGAACAAAACUUUAUUUUUGAAAAAUGCCGCCAAUACCCCAUACACGACCGGCCAGCCAGCCGGUCUACCCACGCGGUUGCGUCUCUCGGAACCAGGCCGCCAGACCUCCCCCGGAAAACUCUCCUACUAUCCUUCCCCAACCAAUGGGAACUUUCCAGGAGUUCUGUUCUGUAGCAGGCCAAGGUGAACAGCAGGAGUCCAAUUUCCAUAUGAAUGUAAAUCUUCUCAAUGGCUAUGCCAUGCAUCAUAAUACUUUGCUGUGGCUCCUAGCAGGCUUCCACACACAGAGGCUCCUCCAGCCUCCAGUGUGUGUGUGUGUGUGUGUGUGUGUGUGUGUGUGUGUGUGACUCUGCCUAUGGACUAUGUCCUUGAACUUCACUUCUUCCAGGUUCUCUUGCAGUCCUCUGUGUUGAGGUAUUUCCAGGGAGCUCCUCAGAAGUACCCUCUUCUCUGGCUGUUGCUUGCCUGGUGCAGGCUGUGUGUACCCAAGAGAAAGGGAGCUUGAUGGUCUAAGGGGUGACAGUGUUGAGCAGAUGGUGACUCAGAAAUAUAUAGCAAGGGAGGGGGAAAGGCAAGCUCAGCUCACCAAUUGCAGCCAUAGCGUCUCCCUGAAGCGGCUGUUCCAUGUCUGAGAUCACAUGUCUGGCUUUCAGCAGAGGCUGCUCCAUUGAAACAUGGUCAGAGUCAAAAGCACAGUUUCCUAUUCCAUUCUGCUCAGAAGAGCUUAUCCUGGCUGGCUCAGAGUCGGGAGGAGGCUUGCAGGAGGAGUAAAGGGAGGCUGAGAGUCGGAAGAGACAGCUGCCAGCCAGAGAAGCACAGAUAUAGCUGGAGAGAUGUCCAAGAUGAGAUCUAUCUAUCUAUCAAUCUAUCAGGGGUACCUUGCUGGUUACAUGGCUAGGGAUAUGCAGCUAGUUGCAGGGAGAAGGAAGGGUAGCUGGGAUUAUCUUUCCAGCCUGCCUUUAAAAAGACCCAAGCUGGUGCUGGCUUGUUCCCUGGGUAGGAUCUUUAAGCCAAUGAGCCUCACAAGAAGUCCAGGAGGGUGAGCAAGGUUGGAGCAUUGGCUGACCAGGUUCCAAGGCCAUGAUUCCUUUUCUCUGCUGCUGUGGAGGUUGAGUGUCCCUGUACAUGGCUCCUCCAGUAUCAGACUCUGCAGGCACUGAUGAGGCUUGGAGAGCAGCACCUUCUUGGAAGAAUCUUGUAUGGACUACCUCUUGUUGGAAAUUCCCUUUUCCCUCUGACAUCACCAUCUUUCUAGAGUAAUAAAUCACUGCAGUUUAAAAGAA